GGGCCUGUAGCUCAGUCGGUCAGAGCAGGAGACUCAUAAUCUCUUUGUCGGGGGUUCAAGUCCCUCCAGGCCCACCA
rnacentral:tRNA from 2 species